UUUGCAAAUCAAACAUAAAGCCUGAAUGGAAACAUUACUUUUCAUUAAAUAGACGGCCAGCCGAAUGAACAGAGAAGGAAGUCUGGACAGCUUUUCAAUGUGAUGGAUUCUGUGGCAAGGAUUACAUCAUUGGGGGGUUUUAUAUUUCUAUAAUUUUAGAUUAGUUAUUUUAGUUCCCUUACCCCCAUUUUUAAAUAUUCCUGUCAGCUAAAACAAGGAUUUUCUUAGGAAAUGAUGAAGCCAGGUUUAAUUUCUACUUAGUGAGAAGACUGCAUUACCACCCCACUGUUAAGGUGCAGGUAUUGUCAGUAGGGCAAGGAUGGGUUUUCUUUUGUAAGGAAUGCAUUUGAAGGGAUAGAUUACAGACUCAGGGUAAUGUGAACCUGUUUCCAUGCUUGGGAGUGUCCUCCCAGGUGAUAGACA
rnacentral:lncRNA from 1 species